rnacentral:rRNA from 1 species
AAUCAGUGCUGAAAAUCGUCUUCUCAUCCGCCAAAACAUCUUCGGCGUUGUAAGGUUAAGCCUCACGGUUCAUUAGUACCGGUUAGCUCAACGCAUCGCUGCGCUUACACACCCGGCCUAUCAACGUCGUCGUCUUCAACGUUCCUUCAGGAGACUCUAAGUCUCAGGGAGAACUCAUCUCGGGGCAAGUUUCGUGCUUAGAUGCUUUCAGCACUUAUCUCUUCCGCAUUUAGCUACCGGGCAGUGCCAUUGGCAUGACAACCCGAACACCAGUGAUGCGUCCACUCCGGUCCUCUCGUACUAGGAGCAGCCCCCCUCAGUUCUCCAGCGCCCACGGCAGAUAGGGACCGAACUGUCUCACGACGUUCUAAACCCAGCUCGCGUACCACUUUAAAUGGCGAACAGCCAUACCCUUGGGACCUACUUCAGCCCCAGGAUGUGAUGAGCCGACAUCGAGGUGCCAAACACCGCCGUCGAUAUGAACUCUUGGGCGGUAUCAGCCUGUUAUCCCCGGAGUACCUUUUAUCCGUUGAGCGAUGGCCCUUCCAUUCAGAACCACCGGAUCACUAUGACCUGCUUUCGCACCUGCUCGCGCCGUCACGCUCGCAGUCAAGCUGGCUUAUGCCAUUGCACUAACCUCCUGAUGUCCGACCAGGAUUAGCCAACCUUCGUGCUCCUCCGUUACUCUUUAGGAGGAGACCGCCCCAGUCAAACUACCCACCAGACACUGUCCGCAACCCGGGUAACGGGUCCACGUUAGAACAUCAAACAUUAAAGGGUGGUAUUUCAAGGUCGGCUCCAUGCAGACUGGCGUCCACACUUCAAAGCCUCCCACCUAUCCUACACAUCAAGGCUCAAUGUUCAGUGUCAAGCUAUAGUAAAGGUUCACGGGGUCUUUCCGUCUUGCCGCGGGUACACUGCAUCUUCACAGCGAGUUCAAUUUCACUGAGUCUCGGGUGGAGACAGCCUGGCCAUCAUUACGCCAUUCGUGCAGGUCGGAACUUACCCGACAAGGAAUUUCGCUACCUUAGGACCGUUAUAGUUACGGCCGCCGUUUACCGGGGCUUCGAUCAGGAGCUUCGCUUGCGCUGACCCCAUCAAUUAACCUUCCGGCACCGGGCAGGCGUCACACCGUAUACGUCCACUUUCGUGUUUGCACAGUGCUGUGUUUUUAAUAAACAGUUGCAGCCAGCUGGUAUCUUCGACUGACUUCAGCUCCAUGAGUAAAUCACUUCACCUACGUGUCAGCGUGCCUUCUCCCGAAGUUACGGCACCAUUUUGCCUAGUUCCUUCACCCGAGUUCUCUCAAGCGCCUUGGUAUUCUCUACCUGACCACCUGUGUCGGUUUGGGGUACGAUUUGAUGUUACCUGAUGCUUAGAGGCUUUUCCUGGAAGCAGGGCAUUUGUUGCUUCAGCACCGUAGUGCCUCGUCGUCACGCCUCAGUGUUAAAGUGAACCGGAUUUACCUGGAACACACACCUACACGCUUAAACCGGGACAACCGUCGCCCGGCCAACAUAGCCUUCUCCGUCCCCCC